AGACUCCCUGCUGAGCAGGGAGCCCGAUGCGGGACUCGAUCCCGGGACUCCAGGAUCAUCACCUGAGCCGAAGGCAGUCGCUUAACCAACUGAGCCACCCAGGCGCCCCAUUGUCAUUUUUCUAAGAGCUGUAUUUCAAAAUGGCAUGGCCAUAAAAUGCAGUCAUGAACCAAUUGAAGCUCCCUCAGAGCUUACCAAUUAAUUCAAGUGCAAAAGGACAAUUGAAAUGGAAUAUAAUUAUGUCCCAGACUUAAACAUUUUCCAUCAGCUGCUUUGGUUCUAUCAUUAUAUGUAUUUCCACAUUAUAUUUCCCAUUGUUUCUUCUCAAAGAUUAAGUGGGAUGGCAAUGCUGACAUCCAGCCCAGAUUCAUUUGGUGGAGGAACAUGUCAAUAUCAAGUCCAUUCCUGUUAGGGAUCCUCAGAGUACACGGAGGGGGAGAGGCUUUUGUUCUGAGGACCUAAAAAAGGAAUUUAAAUAUUUAAAAGUGUUGGCAUUUCCUGCUUGCAUUUUACUGAUCACCUUGAUUUGUAACCAAUCCAAGGAAUAUCUGAGAAGAGAGGUCCUUAUUAUAUAUACUUAGCUGUUUAAUAGUUUUCCUCCUCCAGCUAGACUGUAAGGUUUGAAGCCAUAAGGGCUAUCUCCUGUUCGCUGUUGUAUCUCUGUUUAGCACCCAGUCCAGUGUCUGAAAUGUGCAGGUGCUCAGAGAGACAAUAUAGCAUGCUAGCCAAGAGGACCAGCUUUGGAAUCAGUCUGACCUGGCCUUGAAUCCCGGCUCCAUCACUUACGUGCUGUGUGACGUUGGGCUCUUUGGAAGAAAGUCACUAUGUGCAGCCUACACUUCAGGAAUGGGGAGAGAGAGUACAAGCAGGGGGAGCGGCAGGGAGAGGGAGAAGCAGACUCUCCGCUGAGCAAGGAGCUCGACACGGGACUCAAUCCCAGGACCCUGGGAUCAUGACCUGAGCCGAAGGCAGACACUCAACCGACUGAGCAACCCAGGUGUCCCUGGUCAAACAUUAUUCUGGGUGUUUCUGUGAGACUGUUUUGGGAUGAGAUUAACAUUUAACUGAGUAAAGCAAAUUGUGCUCCCUAAUAUAUAGGCCUCACCCAAUCAGUUGAAGGCCUGAAUAGAACAAAAAGGCUGACCCUCCCCCAAGUAAGAGAAGAUUCUUUCUAUUUGACAGCUUUGGAAAUGGGACAUUGGCUUUUUUCCUGUCUUCCGACUUAAACUGAAACAAUGGCUCCUCCUGGAUCUUGGGCUUGCUGCCUUCGGAGUGGAACUAUUCCAUCAGUUCUCCUGAUUCUCAGGCCUUCAGACACAUGCUGGCGCUAAACCAUCAGCUCUCUUGGGUCUUGAGCUUGCUGAUUCACUCUGAAGAUCUUGGGACUUGCCAGAUUCCAUAAUGGCAUGAGCCAGUACUUUCUAAUAAAUCUAUAUACACACACAUCCACACAUAUAUCCUGUUGCUGGGAUAUGAACAACUACAUAUUCUUGCAUCAAGGCCUCCUUCUAUCCUACCCCUUCUAUCCUGCCUCCUGUUUUCUGCCUCAAAUACUCUCCUCCUACCCUUCACUUUAAUGAUUCCUCCUCAUCUUUCAUUUCUCUCAUCUUCCUGUCACCUCUUCAAAGAUGGCUUCCUUGGCCCAGGUUUUUUCCCUUUCCCCUCCUCUUUCCAUCCCUGUUACUUUUAUUUUUAUUUAUUUUUUAUGUUUUUAAAGAUUUUAUUCAUUUAUUUGGGAGAGAGAGAGAGUGAGUGAGUGAAAGAGAGCAUGAGCAGGGGAAGGAGCAGAGGGAAAGGGAGAAGCAGACUCCCUGCUGAGAAGGGAGCCCGAUGCGGGACUCCAUCCCAGGACGCUGGGAUCAUGACCUGAGCUGAAAACAGAUGCUUAACCGACUGAGCCACCCAGGUGCCCCUGUUAUUUUUAUUUUUAACAACUUUUUACUUGAAGCACAUAUGGAAAACUACACACAAAAAAACAUAGCUUAAAGAGUUAUUAUAAAGUGAACACCCUAGAAACCACCACCCAGGUCAAGAAAUAGAACACUGUCAGCCGCACCAGAGCCUCUCCAUGUGCCCCAUCUAAAUCACAGCCUACUCCCUCCCUGCAAAAGUAACCACUAUCUUGACUUUUUCAGGAGUCACUUCCUUGUGCUUCUUUAUGCUUUUAAUCACCUAAGUAUGUAUCCCUAGACACUGAGAUUUUUUUAGUGGUUGCCAUAACACCCUAAAUUCAUGACAAUCUAGUUUAAUAAAGAUUUAUUUAUUUUUAGAGAGAGAGAGUGCGCACGAGUUGGGAGAGGGGCAGAGGGAGAAGGAGAGAAUCUACAAGCAGACUCCCCGCUGAGCCAGGACCCCCCCCCCCCCGCCCAACUCAGGCUGAUCCCAGGAUCCUGAGAUCAUGACCUGAGCUGAAACCAAGACGCUUAACUAACUGAGCCACCCACGUGCCCUUGACGAUCUAGUUUAAAUUGAUAACCAGCUUAACUUCAAUAGCAUACAAAAAUUCUGCUCCUUUGCAACUCCACCCCAACUUUGUUGUCACAACUUACAUUUUGUAUAUUGUGUGCCCAAUAAUACAAGUUUAAAUUAUUUUUAUGCAUUUAUCUUUUAAGUUGUGUAGUAAAUAAAAACAAAGUUACAAACCAAAUAUGCAGUAAUACUGGCUUUUAUAUUUAUGUAGUUACCUUUACUGGAGAUAUUUAUUUCUUUGUAUGACUUCGAGUUACUAUCUAGUAUCUUUGUUCCAACUUGAAGGAUGCCCUUUAGCAUUUCCCGUAGGGCAGGUCUACUGGUAACAAACUUCCUCAACUUAGUUUAUCUGGGAAUGUCUUAAUUACUCCAUUUUUGAAGGACAGUUAUGCCAGUUACAGAAUUCUUAAUUAACAGUUUUUUCUUUCAGCACUUAAUUUAUUUUUAU